rnacentral:lncRNA from 1 species
AGAGGAGGAGAGAGGGGAGGGCAGGGAAUGGAAAGGGAGGGCUGAGAGAAGGAAGGGAAGGAGGGAAAAGAGAAAAGAAAGGAGGAAAGGGGGAAGCAAAGAGACCCCUUCCAUCACAGCUACGGGGUGUCUAUCUGCACACCACACAUUUGGAAUACCUUAGUAUCUUAAAACCCUGAGGGAUAAGAUAGGGGAAUAAGGAGAAUAAGAAAAGGGUAGAAUAAAAUAUUAAGAUAGUCAAUGUUGAGAUGGCAGAUUAAAUUAUUUUACUAAAAUAUUUAAUUUUUGUUUGUUUUGCAGUCAGGGGAACUUGUUUGUCAAGACAUGCAUGUAGGUGAUCGGAGUUCAAAUUUUCCUCUGAGAUAUAUUACUGGACUGUAAUCUGAGCUCUUGAUAAGGCCAUUGAGUUGUAGACUUCACCAAUAUGGAGCCACAGUGCGCUGUGACACUCAAAUGCAGGAUUGAGUCCCUCAUUGGGCACAAUAGUUUGGGGAUGGAUAAAAGCAAGCCUGAGAGAAGAAGCUGUUGUUUCACACAGAUAAAGUCUUCUUUUUCCAUGCAUAACAACAGCAUGUGGAUCUCAUGUCACCAUUCAGCAUAUGGUGUCCUGGUUGGAUUUUGGUCAACUUGACACAAGUUUGAGCUAUCUAGGAAGAACCUCAAGUGAGAAAAUGAGAGAAUGCCACCAUCAGAUCACCUAAAAGCAAGACUGUGGGCAUUUUUUCCUGAUUAAUGAUUGGUAUAUGAAAGCCCAGCACACAGUGGGAGCAAUGUCACUUCACCCCUGGACAAGUAGACCUAGAUGCUAUAAGAAAACAGUCUGAGCAAUCCAUGAGCACCAGCCAGUAAGCAGCAUUCGUCCAUGCCUUCUGCUUCAGUUCCUGCCUCCUGGUUUCUGCCUUGAAUUCCUGCCUCACUUCUUUCAUUGAUGGACUGUGACAUAAUUGUAGGACAAGUAAACUCUCUCUUCUCCAACUGGCUUUUGGUCGUGGUGUUUUAUCACAGCAACAAAAAGCAAAC